GGCACGGUGGCUUAGUGGUUAGCCCAUUUACCUCGUGCCUCCAGGGUUGGGGGUUCAAUUCCCACCUCUGCCC